rnacentral:rRNA from 1 species
GAUGAACGCUGGCGGCGUGCAUAACACAUUCAAGUCGAACGGAGUUAACAACAAGCUUGCUUGGAGUUAACUUAGUGGCGGACGGGUGAGUAACGCGUGAGCAACCUGCCUUUGUGAGGGGGAUAACGACCGGAAACAGUCGCUAAUACCGCAUAACGUAGCGAAACCGCAUGAUUUUGCUACCAAAGAUUUAUCGCACAAAGAUGGGCUCGCGUCUGAUUAGAUAGUUGGUGAGGCAACGGCUUACCAAGUCGACGAUCAGUAGCCGGACUGAGAGGUUGAACGGCCACAUUGGAACUGAGAAACGGUCCAG